UACGGGGGGGGCAAGCGUUGUUCGGUAUUACUGGGCGUAAAGGGCUCGUAGGCGGCCAACUAAGUCAGACGUGAAAUCCCUCGGCUUAACCGGGGAACUGCGUCUGAUACUGGAUGGCUUGAGUUUGGGAGAGGGAUGCGGAAUUCCAGGUGUAGCGGUGAAAUGCGUAGAUAUCUGGAGGAACACCGGUGGCGAAGGCGGCAUCCUGGACCAACACUGACGCUGAGUGAGCGAAAGCCAGGGGAGCAAACGGG
rnacentral:rRNA from 1 species